GACGAACGCUGGCGGCGUGCCUAAUACAUGCAAGUCGAACGCAGUGGGGACGGGUGAGUAACACGUGGGUAACCUCCCAUCAGAGGGGAUAACACUUGGAAACAGGUGCUAAACCGAUACUGAUGGAUGGACCCGCGGUGCAUUAGCUAGUUGGUGAGGUAACGGCUCACCAAGGCCACGAUGCAUAGCCGACCUGAGAGGGUGAUCGGCCACACUGGGACGUAGACACGGCCAAGACUCCGAGGGGAGGCAGAAGAAGGGAAGUGUCGGCAAUGGACGAAAGUCUGACCGAGCAACGCCGCGUGAGGGAAGAAGGUUUUCGGAAGGUAAAACUCUGUUGUUAGAGAAGCGGUAUCUAACCAGAAAGCCACGGCUAACUACGUGCCAGCCGCCGCGGUAAUUC
rnacentral:rRNA from 1 species